CCCUAUGGGGUGCAGCAGGUCGUGGACAAGAAUAAGGUAGCAACUCCCGCAAACUGGCCCAACAACGAUUUCCUCGGCGACCAGGUGAUCGUGCCCCCUCCGGCGGAUGAGAAGGCUGCUGCCGGCAGAAAGACAGGCGGCGGCAUGGUCUGUGAGGACUGGUGGUUCUGCCAUAAGACGUUGUGAGCAGCCAAUUGAUGAGGUUGAAAAUCAAGGUGAUUUUAUAUGGCUGAUAAGAAGAAAUACACCCUGCCCGAGCUGCCCUAUGCUGGCAAUGCCCUGGAGCCCCAUAUCACCCAGGCCCAGCUGGUGCUGCAUCAUGACAAGCAUCAUGCCGCCUAUGUGAACGGCGCCAAUGCCAUACUGGAAAGGCUGGACAAGGCGCGGGAAUCCGGAUCGGACAUCGAUAUGAAGGCCACGCUAAAGGAGCUCUCUUUCCAGGCGGGAGGGC
rnacentral:rRNA from 1 species